rnacentral:lncRNA from 1 species
AGUAGGAAGCCAGGCGAGCUGUAAAACAUGAACAGAGGAGUGGAUUAUUCGGCCACUGAGGAAGAGAUCAAUCUUGCCAGAGGACCCUCAGUGCUCCCAGUGAAGAUACAUUUCACUCACCCUCCACCCCUGCUAUGCUGUCAUGUCUUUCCCUCUGCGUAGCCAACACAUGAUUUGAAGUGACUGAUACCCAACCCAAACUUUGCUGUUCAGAAUCUUCAAUUCUUCAUAUUCUGAUGGGAAAGUAAAGGUAUUGUUUGAAGAAAAACUGAAGAAAAUACUUGCUUAGAACAU